rnacentral:rRNA from 1 species
CCUACGGGUGGCAGCAGUGGGGGAUAUUGGACAAUGGGGGAAACCCUGAUCCAGCGACGCCGCGUGAGUGAAGAAGUCUUUCGGUAUGUAAAGCUCUAUCAGCAGGGAAGAAAGAAAUGACGGUACCUGAGUAAGAAGCCCCGGAUAACUACGUGCCAGCCGCCGCGGUAAUCCGUAGGGGGCAAGCGUUAUCCGGAAUUACUGGGUGUAAAGGGCGCGUAGACGGUACUGCAAGUCUGGAGUGAAAGGCGGGGGCCCAACCCCCGGACUGCUCUGGAAACUGGUUAACUGGAGUGCAGGAGAGGCAGGCAGAAUUCCUAGUGUAGCGGUGAAAUGCGUAGAUAUGAGGAGGAAUACCAGUGGCGAAGGCGGCCUGCUGGACUAUAACUGACGUUGAGGCGCGAAAGCGUGGGGAGCAAACAGGAUUAGAUACCCUUGUAGUC